GUGGUUACCUUGCCCUUAAGGAAGGGGGGUUACCUUGGGGAASYKGAUGUUWUUACCCUYUUGGAUACGGAAGGUGGAAUUSCCSGGUUUCCCAAAAGUUCCGGSGCCUUAGGRAUYGAUUYUGGGCYGUUAGGGUGUUGUUGGGGUAACGGCCCAACAAGCCGAUAAUUCGGUWCGGUUUGUGGAGCGAGAGCCCGUAGUUGGAUUMUGAGACACGAACCAGGCCCUWCGGGGCGCAUUAGGCGCGAAACUUUCAAUGCGGUCWWCCGUGAUAAGGGAACSUSGAGUGCCUGUACAUGCAAGAUAUAUGGGUGUCUAAAACACACCCAAAGAAAGGGCCGGGCAAWUUCGGUUCCAGCCGCCGCGGUAAUACCGYCGGCUCGAGUGGUGGCCACUUUUAUUGGGCUUAAAGCGUUCGUAGYUGGGUUGUUAAGUCUCUUGGGAAAUCUGGCAGYUUAASUGUCAGGCGUWUAAGAGAUACUGRCAAUCUAGGAACCGGGAGAGGWGAGGGGUACUUCGGGGGUAGGAGUGAAAUCCUGUAAUCCUGGAGGGACCACYUGUGGYGAAGGCGCCUCACCAGRCGGCUUCGACAGUGAGGGACGAAAGCUGGGGGA
rnacentral:rRNA from 1 species